rnacentral:sRNA from 1 species
GGGGAUGCAACGGCUUCGACGGGGAUAAUGAAGCUUUGGCAGCGAGUAGCGGCGGGCGCCGCUUUAAUCAGCCCAAUUUUUAAAAAUAAACGCUAACAAUAAAUUAGCAUACGCAGCGUAAUUUUGCUGCCGUCCCGGCUCUGAGUACCACGGCUUAGCCAGGGGCGAAUACCAGUGGUGAACAUAUGGCGUCGGUGCUCUCUGGCGUCAUAGGAAUUAAGAGCUACCUAUGCAAUGACCUUGGCUGUGGGGUCUUGCUGCGGGAAUUUUGACCAUUGCCUACACUCGUAGAAACCAGGGCGGACUUGUUUUCGGACACGGGUUCAACUCCCGUCAUCUCCACCA